GUCCUUCCACCGUUGAAUUGGUUGCUCAGGAUCACAAUGAAUGUUACUUUUAUGAAAGUAAUUCAACAGCCAGUAGUAUGCUUCCAAAUUUAUAAAUAUUAUCGUCUUGAUAUGUUAUUGGCCUCAAUAGAUAUUGGAUAUGAAUUUUGAAUAUCAGUAUAAAAAUAUGUACUUCAACUUGAAUAUAUAAGUAAUAUAUCAUAAUGUAUCCUUUUCAAAUGUGA